rnacentral:rRNA from 1 species
CUCAUAGCGUAUAUUAAGUUGUUGCAGUUAAAACGCUCGUAGUCGGAUUUCGGGGCGGGCUGCUCGGUCUGCCGAUGGGUAUGCACUGGGUGGCGCGUCCUUCCUUCCGGAGACCGCGCCUUCUCUUAACUGAGCGGGCGCGGGAGACGGAACGUUUACUUUGAAAAAAUCAGAGUGUUUCAAGCAGGCAUCUCGCUCUUGCAUGGAUUAGCAUGGGAUAAUGAAAUAGGACUUUGGUGCUAUUUUGUUGGUUUCGAACACCGAAGUAAUGAUUAACAGGGACAGUCAGGGGCACUCGUAUUCCGUCGAGAGAGGUGAAAUUCUCAGACCAACGGAAGACGAACCACUGCGAAAGCAUUUGCCAGGGAUGUUUUCACUGAUCAAGAACGAAAGUUAGGGGAUCGAAGACGAUCAGAUACCGUCGUAGUCUUAACCAUAAACCAUGCCGACUAGGGAUUCGAGGGUGUUCCAUCUGUGACCCCUUGAGCACCUUUCGGGAAACUAAAGUCUUUGGGUUCCGGGGGGAGUAUGGUCGCAAGGCUGAAACUUAAAGGAAUUGACGGAAGGGCACCACCAGGAGUGGAGCCUGCGGCUUAAUUUGACUCAACACGGGGAAACUUACCAGGUCCAGACAUUGUGAGGAUUGACAGAUUGAGAGCUCUUUCUUGAUUCAAUGGGUGGUGGUGCAUGGCCGUUCUUAGUUGGUGGAGUGAUUUGUCUGGU